UUUUAACUCGCUUAUUAGCAUGUGAAUAAGUACCACCAACUAUAAAGUGCUAUACACAUGCACUAGACAGGUAGUUAUGCAAAUGAGGCUCGAGGACCUUCAGAAAGUCACCCACCAAUCUACCUGUUGGUUUCUCGUCAUCCCAAAUUAGCCUUCAAGAUAGACCAGUACACUGAAUCCUGUAAGAUUGGUGAAAGUCAUCAAUACGCCCCGAGAGAAGACGGAGAGGGAUGACAAAAUGGCUGGAUGCAAUCAAUAUGCUUUUGGCAAGGAGGUUUCAGGUGUACAGCUUUACAGCAGUAAUAUGGACUGAGAACCUGCUCAGCUACGUGGUUGCUAAGAUUCACAGACAAAACAGCAAACUCAAACAGCUUGAUAGUAUCUGAAAAGGUGACCCCAACAGAACCGGCAUUCCCAGACAAAUCAAACGACUGCACUGGAUGGAGAUGAAAACAGAGAAAUGCACGAGGGAGGCUUGUUUAUGAGCAUCGCUCCAAGUCAAAGCAAGGGCAACUCAAGUGAAUCAGAAGAGAGCAAAUGACAUUAACAGCAGUGGGAAGGCACAAACACUGGAAAAAUCAACAGAGGCAGUAGGUCACCACUUCCUGAAUGAAAUGCCUUCCUGAUACAUUUCAAUUAUGUGCAAGAAAAUUUGGAAAAAUCAUAUGAAUGUUUACAGAACAUUCUUUGAGGUGUGGCGGCACUAAAUCUCACUCUCACAGGCCUUGUCGUGACUACUCUUUAAGAAGCAGAUGGCAGGGCGAGGCAGGGCAAGAAGGAUUUUGGCACAGCCACUUUACUAUACAUCCUCUGGGAUUUUACUGUUUCAAAUUUGGCUCAAAUUGGGCCGCAACUUGGGCAAGACUCAGGCCAGGAGUUCAAACGCUCUCCUGGUCACAUAUUUCAGCUGUAAUAAAAUUAGCAACAAGACAAAACAGGCUGUAGCUUUACAGUAGACUGUACGUCUCGGGCCCCCCAUACUGUAUGCAUUGCACUUCAGAAAUAUUACCUGCAACCACAUGUUGGAGCUCAAAGGAACUUUGAGGGGGAAAAAAUUACAUUUUCAGUUUAGUCAGCUCAGAGAUGAAGGCCAGUUGCAGAAAGAUGAGGUCUGCCUUUGAUCUCCCCUCCCAGACCGACAAGAACAAUCACACACUAAUUUACCAACACAUGAAGUCAUGCAUGCAUACAAAUAAACCUCACCUCAGCACAGAUUUUCCAAAAUCUUUUUCUACACACACAAUUACUCACACACAAUCCCAGGCAGAACUAUUAAUAUUGGUCUUUGAAUGUGUGUGAAGCAAGAUAACUUUUCUUUUUUUUUUUACCAUUAAGGACAAUUUUCACAGAUAUAAUUUAAGAUAUCACAGAAAAUACAUUUCAAUACUAGUAAUCCCCACUUUUAUCAGAAAUAAUUAAAGCAGUGACAGGAUAAGUAAAUCAUUUUUGUCUACGUAAGAACACUUUUUUCUCCUUCACCGGAGGUCUGCCAAGAACAAAUGACUCAUUUGCAACAAUUUCUUCAUGUUGGGAGACGUGGGGGGAAAACUCUUAGACAAAGGAAAGAAAUGAGUUGUUUUCCCACUCUGAAACAGAGUCAAACGCAGCCUGCCUAAAAAACAAACACUCAUCUGAUGCUUUUUAAAUACAACAAAGGAGCGGAGCCAAGGUGCCUAACUAAACCUGUCAAAUUGGCAGCAUGUGCCUGUGUCUGGAAAUGCUUUCCUCUCUAGUAACAACACCCGGGAAUUGUGGACUUUUCCUCUGAGACUAGAAGAAAUCAAUCAGCACGAGUAAGUAUCACACUCUAGUGGUUUUAACAGUUAAUAUCCUAAUGGUGUAGGCCGGUGCACACAGGAAAUACAAACCUGGUUAAAUAUUACUUGCUUGGGCUCUUUAUACAGGACCUCUUCAGUUAUGGGCCCUUAGAAACAUCGUCACCUUUCACCACACUACUGACGCCACUGCCCAAACUAAUCCCACAGAGUAUGUAAAUUGAAAUAGAUGUGAAUGUGCAUUAUAACAAACCCAAAUAGCCACAUGGCAGCAAACAUAAACACAUUCACUUUGAUUGGGUAUCGAAAACCAACUCCAAAUUAAAAUUGUUCCAAAUUUAUAAGAAAAAACAUGUUUUUUUUAUAUGUUUUUCGAUGUCUAAGCCAUAAUGUUACAGAAUAUACAAAACUAUUGUUAGUGGGUCCAACUUGAGAAAAAAACUGGUGUAAAACAGCAAAGAUAAAACUUGUGUAUGGCACAUUUUCUUUAUUUUUAUGACAAAUGUUUAUGGCAAAUUAAAGCUGCUCUGUCCAAUAGUUUUUAUAUUAACAAUGGGUCAAAUCAGUGUGCAUGUAAAAGGGGUCGCUAAUAGUGAAGGUGACACUGAGCGUUACCACCUGACUCUGUGAGCUUCAGCUUCUUUUAGCUCCAUGUUUUGGUUUUUCUGGCGUGUAACAUUGUUAUGAUUCAGUUUUACCGCUCCAAUCAGCAUCAUUUCCAGCCACAGCAACUCUACGCCACCUACUCAGCACCAAAGGCCACACAGACAAAGUUAGCGACUAGCUGGUGGACAUAGUGGAACAUAUUGCAGCUAAAGCGCCUGAUUUCCCUCAGGAGUUGGUAAAGACCAAAAACAGAACUAAAAGAAGAAUGAAUAUUGAACUUACAGUUGUCAAGUCGCUUGAAACACGAUUUCAAAUGCAAAUGUUGUUCCAUGUCAGCUGGAUGUGUAAAUAAGCAACUGUUUGCCAUAUUGACUUUAAAAGGUAAUAAUAUUUCAGUUUGAGUAUUUACAGCAUGUUGUAUUGUGUUUUUCUUUUAACAUAUUUUCAUUGCUUUACUUUAAAUAAAAUGGCAAGAAUAAGAAGAACCAGUAUUCUAUAAGAGCCAGAAAUGAUAAACAGAAUCAAAAAUCUAAAUCAGAAUUGAUCCAAUCUAAAUAAUACCUAACCUUCACACACCAAAGUGCAGUCAUGCACAAGCUUCGAUGCAGAUAUGUACACACACACACACACAGAGUGAGCAAAACCAGGCUGGCUGUUUACUGUUUAGCCCUGCGUGCUGAUGUGAUGAGACACCCAGGCUGAUAACACAGGGCCAGAGGUACUUGCCGCUCCGUGUUUGAUCUCAGGCAGCCGAGACGGACUGAGGCUGGGCAGCGGGACAGACGGAGGAGCGGGGUCAGCGACGUGUGCUGUGUGCUUGAUUACAGACUGGAUGGGAGCCCCUCGACCUCUUAGCAGGUCAGCUCUGAACCCUGACCCCAACACAGCAGGCCCUGACACGCUGCUCAGUGCUUUCUCCAAUAACACAGUGGGAUGAAAGGAGUAGCUGUGUGUGCUGAGAGGACUGGACCACUUCCCCUUUGGACCUGAAGAAUGUAGCACGACACAGCAGCGCGCAGUGGAGGACGGCUGGUGGUGAAGUUUGGCCAGCCUCUGGACAUAUGUCGGCACUGUGCAAUAAAAAAGAGCCUCGUCAUGCCUCUCUAACCUGAUCAAUUACACUAGUCGAGACCUUGACCUGUCCCACAACGUAACUGAAGGAAAUACCUCUAACUGUCACUUAGAAGAGGAUGAAAAACUGAAAAGGUGCAGAAGAUGUGCUUUUUUUCUGAUAAAUAUUUCAGUAACCACUGUGUUGCAUUGUGUGAUAGGUCAUUUCGGAUCAUUCUUACAGCACACACAGAAUUGAAUGACUGCCCCUAUCAACAAUAGAAAAACAUGGUGCCAAUGGGCAAGCUCUGCAGAUUCAUGCAAACUGACAAUCCGCUGCAGACAAGGUGGCCGUCCCAGCUGGGUGAAGUUUGUAGGUAAACACCCUCACCAUCAUUUUCCCUCAAGGCACCUGGGUCAGCCAAGUGUUAAUCUGCCCAUUAGUCUUGACGAGUGACAGCGGGACAGUGCUGCAUGUACACACACAGAGGAGAAAGACGGCCUGUCAUGAUAUAAUAUGCCCCAGAGGAUUGUUCUUUUGGCUGUAGUGAGGCAACACUUACAAGUAUCAGUGCGUGAUGUGAAUGUGCUGUGUGUUGAGGAAAGUCAGAGAAGAGAUAGAUUGUGUCUGUGCAUGUUUGCCCAACGUUGUCCACCGA